rnacentral:lncRNA from 1 species
AAGAAAAGUCCCAAUCUUCCAAAUCAUUUUUCCUCCUUUCAUCUUCAACCUUUCUCUAUCUCUCAUACACUUCUUUUUCUCUCACUUCACCACCAAAUGGAAGACUUCUGGAAAAGAGUGAAGACAUUCGCCGAAGAAGCCGCAAAAAAAAUCCCAAUCUCUAACAACCUCCUUCGCCACUUCUCGAAUCGCCGAUCUCGUCUCCGAAACCGCCAAGAAAUCCAAAGAACUCGCCGCUGAAGAAAGCAAAUGAGAUCAAAUCCGCCGCUCUCCGUCAAGCCGAUCAGAUCAAGUCCUUUUCCGAUAACAUCUCCAUUCCUCCUCAAUUCUCCGCCAUUGCAGAUAGAUAUGAUAAGGACAUGAUAAACCUUAAUCCUAUCAUGUGUUUGAUGCGCACAUGAUAACAAACAAGAUAUCAUUAUAAUUAAAUGAAAAAAUUGCUCUCAUAAUUAAUUAAAUAUUGUAAAAGUGACAUGUUAUUAAUUAUAAUAGAAAAUACAUGCUAUCAUUAUUUUAAAAAUGACAAUAUUUCAAAAAUGGUAGAAUAUUUGGAAAGCGGAAAGGCACGGACGUUACUCUGUCCGUAGUGCUACAGGUUAUGUGUAUCAGAACUUAUUGAUUCCUCUUAUAACUGGCGACCGGGGUAUUGGUCGGGUAUUUGGAAUCUAAAAGUUCCACCGAAAGUCAAGAAUUUAAUUUGGCACAUUUGUCGUGGUUGUUCACCGACUCGUGUCCGUUUAUUGGACAAAGGUGUUACUUGCCCAACUAAUUGCGCUAGCUGCGCAUCCAAUCAUGAAGAUCUUAUGCAUGUUUUCUUUGCUUGUCCUUUUGCUUUACAAGUUUGGCACAUAACAGGACUUUGGGGUUCGGUACAACACGCCCUUUCUACUACUGCCUCAGCUUCAGAAGCUAUAUUUUACCUCUUAAAGACUUUGUCUAUUGCAUUAACACAAAGUCUGUCAUCUGUAUUAUGGAGUAUAUGGAAGCACCGCAAUCUCCGAGUGUGGGAUGAUGCAAUAGAAACGAGUGCCACAAUUGUCGAACGUGCUAGAAACAUGGUUGCAGACUGGCAACUAGCAAAUGCUUUAGAUGUUCUUGCAUCUAGAUCGCAUCAUCAACCCACAACGGCCUCCACCUCUCAACAACAGCAAAUCACGUGGCAACCUCAUGUGGUCGGGAGAUACAAAUGUAAUAUAGAUGCAGUUUUUUCAUCUAACAUUAACCGUACAGGUAUUAAUAUUUGUGUUAGCGAUGCAGAAGGUACUUUUGUUCUGGCUAAUACUGUGAGAUACCCUUAUACCGUUCUGCUGGAUAUGGGUGAAGCUUUAGGGUUGCACUCUGCUAUGCAAUGGUUGAGUGAUAUGCAGUUUGAUAAUGUGGAUUUUAAAACAGACUUAGACUCUAAGUUGACAGCUGAUGCUUUCCUUUCAACCAAGAACGACUUAUCCGAAUUUGGCUGCAUUAUUUCAUCUUGUCGUUCUUUGUUUAGUACCUUUUUCUCUAACUCUAGGGUGGAGUUUAUUAGGCGACAAGCCAAUGGGGUCCCUCAUGCUCUUGUAAUAGAGGUCACAUCUUUAGCUAGUCAUGCCGUUUAUUUUGAAAUACCCAAUUGUAUUGAAACUCUUAUUAAUGAAAUGUUAUAAGCAUGUUUCCCUAAAAAAAAAAAAAAGAUAAUGAAUAAGAAAUGAUAUUCUAAUCUCAUCAGGAUAAUUUAUAACUCAGUUUAUAUUCAGGAUAGAAAUUACAUAGGAAAGUGAGGAUAAUAUAGGAAAAUGAGAUUUUAUCCUAUCCAUUUGGUGCAUCAAACAUGAAAUUUAAACAGGAUAUGAUUAAAUCCCUAUCCUGACCGUCUAACGGACAUUAUAUAACAUAUAAAUUUUUCUUCGUUUAGAAAAGAAAAAAUAUAAUAAAUUUCCCAACAAAAGAGAUUAUUAAAAACUUCGCACCAAUUCAACAAAAAAUAAAGGAAAACAAAUCAUAUUUCCUCUUCAAAAAACAGAGUGAAAUGAUCCCUACAUACAUAUUAGCUCACACGUCCCCGUUACAAUACGUCGCCGUAUCCUCUUAAAAGAAAAGUCCCAAUCUUCCAAAUCCUUUUUCCUCCUUUCAUCUUCAACCUUUCUCUAUCUCUCACACUUCACCACCACCAAAUGGAAGACUUCUGGAAAAGAGCGAAGACAUUCGCCGAAGAAGCCGCAAAAAAAUCCCAAUCUCUAACCACCUCCUCCGCCACUUCUCGAAUCGCCGAUCUCGUCUCCGAAACCGCCAAGAAAUCCAAAGAACUCGCCGCCGAAGCUUCCAAGAAAGCAGAUGAGAUCAAAUCCGCCGCUCUCCGUCAAGCCGAUCAGAUCAAGUCCUUUUCCGAUAACAU